CAGCCAACAAACUGCACAGGUACCAAGUAACAGAGGCAAGAGACCGAUUUCUCAGGCCAAGAAUGCUCAGCUACAACACCUGGAGGGAUCUGUGGGAUCCCAUUGGGGUCCCAUGCAUGCAGGUAUGCAUGGGGCUGACCAGCUCAGACCUCGGCAGACCCAGAAACAGCAGCUGGCCCUGGUCUUCUAGAACAGAAGCUCUGAAAAUCUGCAUUUGAAACUCCAGCUUCCAGAAUGGUUAUUGCCCUCCUUGCAUUUCACCUUGUUCUUGGGAAAACAUUUGCUUUAUAGCAAAACAACUAACCAUAAAAGCCCCAUUACUUGCUUAGGAGAUGUUGGGAUUGAUCCCCAGCUAAUGGAAAUAGAGGAAGCUCCAUUGACUUUAAUGGAUCUACACCCAUUUACACCAGCUGAAGAUCUGUCCCUUUAGGUACCAUUAUAUAUGUUUUAAUCUCUCCCAAAUGUGCUGUGAAAGCGAGCAACUGUUUAGAGCUGGUUUGUUCAAAGGAAGCUUCAACUCUCCCCAAACUCCAUAAUACCGGAGACCGACUGGAUUUUUAUCUCCUGCUAUAUUUAUAUUCCAGCAUGUUUAGAGCAUUAAUACUCUUGGUAUUUAACUGGUUAUGGUUCCUUUCAAAAGCAUUAAACAAACCCAACUGUGUAAA